GAUUUCUGGUCUGGUGCGCCUGGCCCGCCGCAUCAGCGUGUGAGUGCCGGGUCGCGCCUGCCAUCCUUCUAGAAAACGUAUCUACCCUUCACUGGGCCGGAUACGCGAUCUAGAUCUUUUACUUUGAAAAAAUUAGAGUGUUUAAAGCAGGCAUUUGCUAUGAAUACAUUAGCAUGGAAUAAUAAUUUAGGACUUCGGUUCUAUUUUGUUGGUUUCUAGGACUGAAGUAAUGAUUGAUAGGGAUAGUUGGGGGUGCUAGUAUUCAGCGGCCAGAGGUGAAAUUCUCGGAUUCGCUGAAGACUAACUUAUGCGAAAGCAUU
rnacentral:rRNA from 1 species